UGGCGGCUAGCGCGGUGGUCCCACCUGACCCCAUGCCGAACUCAGAAGUGAAACGCCGUAGCGCCGAUGGUAGUGUGGGGUCUCCCCAUGCGAGAGUAGGGAACUGCCAGACA
rnacentral:rRNA from 1 species